rnacentral:rRNA from 1 species
UGACCCGUCUUGAAGCACGGACCAAGAAGUCUAACGGACACGCAAGUCAAAGGGUCGUAUACGAAACCCGGAGGCGCAAUGAAAGUAAACUUUGGUGUAGGCCAAAGCUAAGGUGGGAUCCCGCUGCACAGCGGCGGGCGCACCACCGCCCCGUCUCGUCUGCAUUUAGCUCAGUGAGGCGGAGGAAGAGCGUGUACGCUAGGACCCGAAAGAUGGUGAACUAUGCCCGAGCAGGAUGAAGCCAGAGGAAACUCUGGUGGAGGUCCGCAGCGAUUCUGACGUGCAAAUCGAUCGCCCGACUUGGGUAUAG